CUUAUCCCACUUCCCCUACCCAUCAAAAAUUGUAGUAUGUAAAAUCCAUCAAAACACACCCACACAAUUCUGGUGAAAGAAUUUCUAGUGUACUCAUCACCAACAUUGAUGUCCUUUAUAUUUUGGGAGAAGAAUGUUUGUUUCUCACCUCUGUGGACAUCAAUUGUUCAUCCUAGACUUUAUUCUUCAGGUACAAUUUGAUAUUUACCCUUUAAAUAACUUGAGUUUUCUUCAAAUAAAUAGGGUUAGGAUAAUAAUUGUAAGUAUAUGGAUGUUGUUGUUGCUUUGGUGAUGUUGGUGUUCAAGAAUUUGUCGUACUGUUGAUUUCAAUUAUUCUAUUUUGGGGUUUUUUAAUUUGGGUUACAGAAGGAUGAAUUUGUAGCAUGAUUGAAUCUUAUGUUCAUUUUUUUCACUUAUUCUCUCCUUAUUUAUGGAGUAACUUCUUCUUUCCUGUAUCUUUAGUUAAAAAAUUAAGUCUUUCUCCAAUUGGACUUUCAAAGUUUACAAUCUUGUAGGGAUAAAACAGUGAUUGAAAUUAGAUGGUGAUUUUGUUGGUAGAAGAUUAACUGUGAUAUGCAUUUUGUUGGGUUGUAUGGUAUAAAGUUAUCUUUUGAGUUUUAGAUAUAUGUUUGAUGUUUAAUAGUUUUGCCUCACUGAAUCAUUAUAUUUCAAGUUCACAAUUAGUUGAAAGAGGAAACAUUUUAUGCUUUCGUUAAUUUGCAGAGUCUCUUUUUGAGAUUUGUUGUUCAGUUCUUAUGAAAAAAGUGACAUCUUGUAGGUUCUUUGUUGCUUUUUAUGUGAUCAUCAUUUGAUCUUGUCGUUAUAUUUAGACAAUUUAAAAAUAAAUAUAUAAACUUUAACUUAAGUACUAUUGAUGUUAUGCAAAGAGGACAUUUUGUUUUGUCUGUGUAAGCUGUUUUUGUUUCCCACCAAUCAUGAGAGCUUUGGAUGAAAUGGAUUGUGCUAUAAUUUAUAACUUGAAAAGUGGCCUGAGUUUCUAUAAAUUGUAAAAAUACUGGACCAUUUUGAAUUAUCAAUUGCUCAAAACGUGACUUUGAAGCUUAUUCGAAAUUUAAUCUUUCAAUAUCACAAGAAAGAGCUUCAUCAGUAGACCUAAAAGCUUGGUCAGAUAUAUACAAAUGCUUCAUUAAAUCAGAACGCAUCGAUGUAGUAAUCAAUCACUUCUCCUUUAUAUAAAAUGUCAAUUUUUAAGAAAAAAUGACAUUAAAUGUUGUUAUUUUCCUUCUUCAAACUCCAUGUAUUCCUAUGCGUCCUCCUUCUUUCAUAUCAUAUUCUCCUUCUCUUUAUCCUUCGAUCAGUUUUUCUUUUGUGCCACUCUUGUAGCUUCUUUUCUUUUCCUCUUUACAAUUAUCUCUAUUUCACUCUUGUUUUGUUUAGUUACAGUUCUCUAUGUUUCUUUUUUUCUUUCUUUAUUCUCUUUGUUAUACUUUAUUCAUUAAGUUGAAGAUUUCUUAACUCUAUAUUUCUUGCAUGACAUUCUCAAUAGAAAUUAUGACUUAAAGCUUCAUGUGUUCUUUGUUAGGUCUUGCUUUUGUUCUAAAGUUUGUCCUUCUACAGCCACUUCUCAGAGAAAGGUUCCUUCACGAAAGGUCACCUUCAAUAGCAGCAAGUGGACUAGUUGAACUAGGACAACUUGAUACUCGCUCGUAUUGAUUAAAAUCAAACAUUGUCUUGUUGCCUAGUUUAUGUCUAAUAUUUUGACCAUCUUGUCUCCUUGAAAGAUGCUUUGCUAAUUAAUUGAAGUAUAUGUUUAUGCAUUGUUGGUGUGAAUAAUACGAUAAAAAAUGUGUUUUUAUGUUGUUGUGUAGUGGUUGUUUUCCAUCAAAAUAAGUGAAAGAUCAGCCCUUUCCUUGCUAUUAUUAUGUAUUUCUUGUAACUAAAGUAGUAAACAACUACAAUAUCUUCUCUUAAACAUAUCUUGUUUAGUAAGUUCAAGAAAUAUUCUCAUAAGCUCCUCUAAGAUGUGAGAAAAUAUUUCAAUUAAUUAAAGUUCCCUUGCCAUAAAGAAUUUGUAGUAAAAAUGAUUUGUUAUUCGUUUUAUUGUAUUCUUAUUCAUGAAAUGAAAGUUGUCACUUGUUUGAAUUUCUGUGUUAGUGUUCAAAGGAUAAUUUCGUCUUUCUUCAUAAGAAUUAUUAUGAAAAAAUGGUUUUUAGGAACAAGGAAUAAUUAGAAUAAAUGAUCAAUCAACUUUCCAACUAUGUAAACAAUGGUAUUGCUUGCUUAGUUUUAUAUUUUAUGUAAAUAAUUAAGAUUCAAUAGACAUUGUUCUACUUCUUUUUAUCUUAAAACUACAAUUAAAAAAUAUAAAUGUGAACUAUGAACCUACAGAUAUGAAGCCACUGAUUUGUGCAAGCUUGAAGCAAUUAACAAUUAUAAAUGAGUAUAAAUAUGUUGAUGCUUACAAGUUGUUUACACAUAUUUGCUUUAAAGACUUUUGUGAUUCUUAGAUUUCUUAAGAUAUUAAAGAAAAGACAAUUGUUUAUACUUUCUUUGCUGAAGCUCCUUACUGCUUUUUCCACCAUAAGUCAAUCUUAUUGUGCUUUCCAUUAGAUUAAGUAGUUCUAAUAAAUUUGACCAUCUUUUUUGCUUAAACAAAUGACGACAGACCUUGACUAAGUAAAUGAUGGCUCCGUAUUUUGUUUUAUUAGAUUCUUAAUAUUAUACGGAUUAUAUAUUAAAUGAUAUCACCAUGAAUCAUGUUAUAUAUUUGUCCGAACCUACUGUCUGUUUCCUUUUACUAGCUUAAAAACUUGAGCACAAUUCUCGAGUAGCAGUUAGAAUAUUUCUAUAUGUGCUCCCUCAUGUGAAAUUUUCAUUAUUCCAAUAUACUCAAGUUUUUUAGAAAUUCACAUCUCUAGAAUCACUUAGUUGAGAAAUAUAAAUUAGUUUCUUCUCAAUUAUUCGUAUUUUUGGAUCGUGGUAUAGUCAAGAGAUAAGAUCACAUCGUUUUUCAAGCUCUCUUUCAAUAUAUAUAUUCUAAUCAAUGUCUUUCUGAAAUUUCAAGUUACCUUAAAGUGUAAACUUGUUUGAAUAGUGAGGUGCCCCAUUAUUUUUCUUAUAAUGUGUCAUUGUGUGAAUGUUUUUAAUAUGAUUUAUGCAUCUUUGUGAAACACAAGUUUUUAAUAUAUAUUUAGUGUGAUUGACUCUUUAAUGACGCUUUAAAACAAUCAAACUACUGAAGCAUUUUUAUUCAACAUUUUUAAAUUCAGUCGAUCAUAUGUUUGUAUUUGUAUGUUUGUUAUGUAAUUUAGUAUUUGUUGUCAAUUACUAUGGCUACUCUAAACCACAUUUUCAUUUUGAAUUUACAUGUACACUUGGGAGCAUGUUUGGAAUUUGGGGAAAACUUGAUCUUUGCCUAAAUCAGAUUUAUCUUCAAUGAUAUAUCUUCUCUACUUGAUUUUUCCCACUUUAGAGUUGGACAAUAGUCAGGUAGAGGAAAGUAUUUAUAAGGAAACAAAGUCUGAUAACAUCAACUUCAUCUUCAUUUUUUCAAUUAUUGGUUAAGGAUGGAUUAAGAUGCAUCACUGUCAAGAAAAAAGUGGGUUCACUUUAACCAGUAUAAUGAUUGAUUCAAGUAAUCAACACAGAUUUGUCAUAGCAAGUUGAAGCAUAGGAGAAACACAAUUGUCUUCAUGUUUUGUUUAAAAUGUAAAAGAUGUCCCCAUUUAUACCAACUGAAAUUUUGUCAUGA